UGUGGUGAGCGCUCCCUGCUCUUUCUGAGCUACCUACCUUUAGGUUUCUCUGCCUUCGCGGUGUUGAUUCCUUUGGCAGAGCGGUGUCUACGCCUCUUCGACAUCCGUGCCUGAAGUAGUUUCUGGAGUUCAUCUAUUCAUGCAUCGACGGCAGUUUGGAGGACGAGCAUGCAAUUGUAGGUGCAUGGAGAUUUGAGAGUCCAAUUUCCAUGGACCUAGCAGGAGUUGUUGCAGUAGAAGUCACUGGAGG